rnacentral:rRNA from 1 species
AUUGAACGCUGGCGGCAUGCUUUACACAUGCAAGUCGAACGGUAACAGGUUAAGCUGACGAGUGGCGAACGGGUGAGUAAUGCAUCGGAACGUGCCCGGUCGUGGGGGAUAACGCAGCGAAAGCUGCGCUAAUACCGCAUACGAUCUGAGGAUGAAAGCGGGGGACCGUAAGGCCUCGCGCGAUCGGAGCGGCCGAUGUCAGAUUAGGUAGUUGGUGAGGUAAAGGCUCACCAAGCCAACGAUCUGUAGCUGGUCUGAGAGGACGACCAGCCAACACGGGACAGAGACACGGCCCAGAAUCCUCCGGUAGGCAGCAGUGGUGAAGUUGGGACAAUGGGCGAAAGCCUGAUCCAGCAAUGCGGCGUGCAGGAAGAAGGCCUUCGGGUUGUAGACUGCUUUUGCACGGAGCGAAAAGGCUCUCUCUAAUACAGGGGGCUCAUGACGGUACCGUAAGAAUAAGCACCGGCUAACUACGUGCCAGCCGCCGCAGUAACAC